rnacentral:piRNA from 1 species
UAGGCUUGCACCCCGAAGUUAAAGAUUGC